AAUAACCGCAAGGCUUAAGAGGAGGGGUGAGAAAAAAAAGUCGUAUAAAAGGCGAGAGAAAAGUCGACAGGGAUCAGUCGAGCGAGUAUCUCCGACACGGUAACAUCUGCAUUCCACUAUCUGCCAUCAGCUGCAUUCUUCAUCGUACUAUCAGUUCUAAAUCAUGGUAAACUAUGCUGGCGUGCUGUUGUUGGGUGUUGUGUCGUUGAUGGCUGGUUCAGCCACUGGCGUACCGAUGUAUCCUGGGUAUGGUGGAUACCAAAGCACUACACUGCCGCCUUAGUACACAACUUACGACACAACCAGUUGCUACACCGAUGCCCCCCAAGUACUUCACCACCAUGCUGCCCCAAGCUACUACACCGAAUCCCCACAGUAUUAUUCUUCUCCGAGCUACAUUACUAAAGGGUAGAGUACUACACCGAGGCUCCCCAACACUACACGACCAAGGCACCUGAGUACUAUACCACUACAUAUCAUGGUAAUGAAGGAGAGAAAAGGUGAAAGAUUUCAGCAGCCGAUUGAGCAUCUCCGUUACGGCAACAGGAACUGCCGUGCACUAUUUGUCAUCAACUUCAUUCUUCGUCGCAUUAAAAGUUUUAAAUAAAGUAAACUAUGGCGUCGUGCUGCUGUUGGGCGUUGUAUCGUUGAUGGGUGGUUCAGCCAUGGUGUACCGAUGUCUCCUGGGUAUGGCGGGUACUAAAGCACUACACUGCCGUGCCGUCUAACUAAUUAGCAUCAACUUCCGCUGCUCCAGCUUACUACACUGAGGUUUACAAGUGCUACACCACCAUGGAUCCAGAGUAUUACACCACAGCUCAUGUUGCCCCGAGCUACACUACCAAAGGGUCGAGAACUACGUCGAGGCUCCCAAGUACUACAUCACCAAGGCACCGGAGUACAAAAACGGUUGAAUACUACACAGAAGUUAUUAUGAUUCAAAUUAUUUGUUGCCUAGGAAACUAUGGUGUCGUGCUGCUGUGAGUGUUGUAAUCAUGAUGGCUGGAUCGACCAAUGGUGUGCCGAUAUCUCCUGGGUAUGGUGGGCAAUCAACAACAACAUACGCAACAACCGCUUACUACACUGGGACCUGCAAGUGCCAAACCACCAAGGCUUCAGAGUAUUACACCACAGUUUAUGUUGGCACGAGCUACUACGCAGAAGCUCCGGAAUAAUUUUCUUCCCCGCUUCACUACCUUCACCACGCCGCCUCCUUACUAAACAACAACAACAACGUCGUCAACACCUACUUACUAAACGAACGCCUCCAAGUGCUACGCCAUAAAGGCUUCGACUACUACAACGAGGAUCAAACUUGUCACACAACUGAAGCGCCCAAGUACUGCACUACAACCUACGUUGCUCCAGCUUACACCACGAAGGGAGCGGAGUACAACACCACGAAGGGAGCGGAGUACAACACCACGAAGGGAGCGGAGUACAACACCACGAAGGGAGCGGAGUACAACACCACGAAGGGAGCGGAGUACAACACCACGAAGGGAGCGGAGUACAACACCACGAAGGGAGCGGAGUACAACACCACGAAGGGAGCGGAGUACAACACCACGAAGUAUGCUACCAUUUUACACCGAAGCUCCUGAGUAUUACACCAAAGAGAUUGCAUAUUUCGCUUCAACCCGCGCUGCCCUCAGUUGCUAUACCGAGGUUCCCAAGUACUACACCACCAAGGCACCCGAGUAUCACACCACAAACGCUUCCGGAUUUUACUACAAGGAGAUUUCUAAAUGCUAGAGCCGAUAGAUCUAUUUUAUUUUUUUUAAAUUGGUUGCUUGUCUUCAUGAUCAUUGGUCACUGGGAAUUAACUGUUGAUCUUAAAUGAGAAAAUAAAAAUUCUAAUAAGGGUAA